ACUGGGUGCAGUGGCACGUGCCUGUUGUCCCAGCUACUUGGGAGGCUGAGGUGGGAAGAUCCCUUGAGCCCAGGAGUUCUGGGCUGUAGUGCACUAUGCCGACCGGGUGUCCGCACUAAGUUCAGCAUCAAUAUGGUGACCUCCCGGGAGCAGGGGACAACCAGGUUACCUAAGGAGGGGUGAACGGGCCCAGGUCAGAAAUGGAGCAGGUCAAAACUCCCGUGCUGAUCAGUAGUCGGAUCGCCCCUGUGAAUAGCCACUGCACUCCAGCCUGGGCAACAUAAGGAGACCCCAUCUCU
rnacentral:SRP_RNA from 1 species